rnacentral:lncRNA from 1 species
CUUCAAGCAUGUCAGCCUACGAAGCCGCCACUCUUCUGCCACCAACUGUGGCCCAGCCCGGCCCAGCCCUCCCUGCCCAAGCUGUCUGCACAGGCCUGGGUUCCCAGACGCGACUGUGGAAGAUGGGAGGAAGCGGUCCUGGGACUCCUGCCGGAAAGGCCUGCCUCCAGCUCCACCCCAGUGGGAGGGUGGCCAGGUCAGGUUCCAUGGUUCACACCUGUAAUCCCAGCAAUUUGGGAGGCCGAGACGGGAGGAUGGCUUGCAUGCAGGAGUUCAAGACCAGCUUGGGCAACAUGGCAAAACCUUGUCUCUAUAAAAAAUAAAAAAUUAGCUGAGUGUGGUGGCGUGCACCUGUAGUCCCAGCUACUUGGGAGGCUGAGGUGAGGUGGGAGGAUGACUUGAGCCCAGGAGACGGAAGCUGCAGUCAGCCAUGACCACACCUCUGUACUCUAGCCAGGGCAACAGAGUGAGACCCUGUCUCAAAAACAAAAACGAAAAAUAUAUAUAGAUAAAUGAAAAGAUUAGUAUCCACAAAAGGACAAAUAUUGUUUGAUUCCAUUGAUAUGAGGUAGCUAGAACAGGCAAAUUCAU